rnacentral:pre_miRNA from 1 species
UCCCGGCCGCCAUUGCCAGGUACUGAGAAGCGGCGGCAGCGUCCGCUUCUCAGUACCUGGCAAUGGCGGCCGGCG